rnacentral:lncRNA from 1 species
GCAUGUCGCAAGUGGAUGAAAAGUGUCCGUCUUCCAAGUUCGUGUUGUUGCAGUAUACACAGUAAAGUUUUCGGCUGUAAAGAAAGCUAGAAAAAAAGAAAAUAUCGACCAGAGCAAGCGCUAGCUGUGUAUAUGAUAGUUAGUUGCAUAUGGUACUUAUGGCAUAAUAGACCGAUUUUCGGUUUGCCUUCGUUGUGUAAUCGUCAAAUGUAGUCCAUUAGUUUCUAUUUACUAAAUAAACUUCCCAAGAAAUAAAGAGACGACAAGCUGAACUUAUUACCCCCCUCGGCUUUCCGGGGAAUUACAAUUAAAACUUAUUCCCUCAUCGUUAUUGAGCGGUUUUGGAUUUUAAUAAGGGGGGAGUUUGAUUUUUUUAUUAUUUCUAAUUUCUAUCGAUUGAUUAUCGUAAUUCGUAAGCAUGCUGAUUAGAAUUUAGAAGAAAAUUGGACAAGUGUCGUCUGCUAUCUGCUUUCGUUUAGUUGAAAAUUUCGAAAAAGUCAGAGACAAAGUUCAAGAUUUAUUUGUUCUUGAUAACCGUCAUACUCCAUGCUGUUUAGCGGAUUUGAGGCUAGAGCCAUCCAUCACAACAACAAGAUAUGCAAGUUUUGCUUUUGCUGGUAUGUUCUGAUUCGGUAUCACUUGUUGGAUAAGAAGCACCCCAUUACACUGGAAAACUACCGAUGUCAAUCGAGUUACUGAACUCUCCUUUUCCCCUUUCUUUAAAUGUCCUCGUGUACGCCCAUGUGAAUGUGGGUGUAUUCACGAGGACACCCUUUACCCCCAUCCCGUCUGGUGCAAUUUAACUUUUCAGCGGAUGGAUGGAGCAUCUGUAGAUGUCUGGCUGUAUUUCCCAGGCAUAAAGAUUGGAGUCCUGAACCAGCCAUCAUAACAACAAGAUAUGCAAGUUUUGCUUUUGCUGGUAUUUACUUGCCAUCAGCAACAAUCUCAGCAUAAUCGUUUGGAUUAAACAGCAUCCAGUUUCAUCAGAGAAAACAACCGAUAUCGAGUCGAGUUAAGGAUCCCUUCUUUCCUUAUUCUUUAAAUAUCCUCUGUUCUCGUGUACGUCCAUGUGUGUGUGGGUGUAUUCACGAGUCUGAGGCCCUUUUUCCUAUCUCACCUGGUGGAUUCAACUAUUCUGGACUGCGGAUGGAGCACUUGAGGAUGCCCGGCCGGAUUUCCCAGGCUUAAAGUAGGUCGAUUGCGUUUACAAACAAGGAACAAAAAAGGUUUCAAAAUGUUUUUCCGGGACCUAUGAAUACGACUAGUGAAAAUUUGUUGGCAAAAUCAUUAAUAUCUACCAUGUCUGCAUGGAGUCUGGAGAGCCGGAGCAAACGUAUUGGGAUUCCUUAAUGACUCACUAUAUAAUUAGUCUAUAGUGUAGAGCAAACUUCUUAUGUAAUUACUUCUCGUUUCUUGAAAUUUUUUCCAGGAAUAUUCACAGCCAGCCAAUAAUGUAUUCAUUCCCUGAAUUCCGGUGUUCCCGGAAUGAUUUUGACGGUUUGGAUAUAAGGGUCGAUUUUUAAUAUUUCUAAUUUUCUAUCGAUCUUUGGCUAAUUAAAAAAAUUACUGUCGUCUGCUACUCUGCUUUCGUUUUCUUUUCAAGUUUCGAAAACGAGACGUUCAAGAUUACGAAGAAUACGGAACGUGGAAGGAAACGAUCACUUUUUUGGAAACGUACGUGACUGCACGAAAAAUAGAGCAACAAAAAACAAAUUAACAAAAAUAUGAUCGCCGCGUGAACUGUGAACUCUGGUGCUGGUCAUGCUCUCCACGUUCCAUGCCGUUUGGCAGCCUGCAGAUUUGAGGCCUGGGCCAGCUAUCAUAACAACAAG